UACGUAGGGGGCUAGCGUUGUCCGGAAUCAUUGGGCGUAAAGAGCGUGUAGGCGGUCCGGUAAGUCCGCUGUGAAAGUCGGGGGCUCAACCCUCGAAUGCCGGUGGAUACUGUCGGGCUAGAGUGCGGAAGAGGCGAGGUGGAAUUCCUGGUGUAGCGGUGAAAUGCGCAGAUAUCAGGAGGAACACCUAUUGCGAAGGCAGCUCGCUGGGACGUUACUGACGCUGAGACGCGAAAGCGUGGGGAGCGAACAGG
rnacentral:rRNA from 1 species